rnacentral:rRNA from 1 species
UGGGCAACCUGCCCCCGACCCUGGGAUAACCCCGGGAAACCGGAGCUAAUACCGGAUACUCUCCUCUGACCACCUGGUCGGAUGAGGAAAGGUCCGCCGGUCGGGAUGGGCCCGCGGCCUAUCAGCUUGUUGGUGGGGUAACGGCCUACCAAGGCAUCGACGGGUAGCUGGUCUGAGAGGACGACCAGCCACACUGGGACUGAGACACGGCCCAGACUCCUACGGGAGGCA